UUUACUCCCUCAAUGUGUGUAAUUUAUAAACUGUCUAAGCUAGUAUCGCUUUAAAAAGGAAAGGACAAGCCUUCCGCGUCAUCCUGAUUAACUGACAGCAGCAAUCAUUUCCUUCGGUGCGUCCUGUGGCUGGUGAGAAUGGCGCAGCAGUUUGUGGAGGCUCAAAUCAAAGGAGACAAGGUGGUCCUGUUCAUUAAGCCCACAUGUCCGUACUGCAUUAUGGCCCAAGACGUUUUGUCCAAAUACAAGUUAAAACCGGGACAUUUGGUGAGCGUGGAUAUAAGUAGACGCAGCGACAUGGGCAGGGUGCAAGACUAUUUCCUGGAACUUACCGGAGCUCGCACGGUUCCACGUGUGUUCAUCGGUGAGGUAUGUGUUGGAGGUUGUGAUGCUGUGGAGGAGCUGCACAACAAUGGAAAACUGGAGGGCAUGCUGCAGGCUAUUGGAGUCCUGCAGUGACCUGCUCCAAACUUCCAGCCUGCUGCUCCACUUCAGCUAAGAUACUGCAUGACUGGAUACAUACAGUUACAUACAGGGUUUGGCUGUCCAGGGGUGGGGGUCACAUGACUGUGCAGCGGGACUUCCGCAGUUUGCGCCGUCGCUGCUGGUAUUCGCUGAGCUCCUGCAGGUAGCCUCUGGACGGCCAACGAAGCCUCUCCACUUGCUCAUGCUCCUCCUCUACAACAUACACAAGGACAAAGACAUACAACUGUAAUUUACUGCAAACACAGCUAAUGACUAAUUUGCUGAUAAAACCAUCACAGCUAGAUACACUGCUUGGCAUGCACUCACAGAUACACAUACAGUAAUACCUUCUUGGACUGUUGCCACGAACACAGUCGUCAAUGCUGUAAUAUAUCUGCUAAGGGUUUGUUUACACCAACAAACAACUUAAGACCAAGAAGACCAAUGGUGAUCAGUCAUGUGCUCUCUGCUUAUUCUGCACUUUGAUUCUGCUUGUGCCCUUCUGUACCCGUCAAAUGACCUUAAAUCAAUCUCGUGUGUAUGACUAAUGAUUACAAUAAAAUGUGCCUCUGCUACUAACUGAAGCAGUGGUGCUGUUAAUCUUUGA